AAAAUGCUUAGGAAGAUUAAUGAGAUGAUUCAGCUACUGAAACCCAUAUAAAUGCAAUAUGCUGCGGUUGGCUUUAAUAUCUGAUGUAUACAAAUUGCUGAUGAGUAAAAAGAAUAACUGCAUCAACUUUUAGCAACUCUGAAAUUUAUAGUUAGUAUGCAUAUCUUUGAUAAGUACUUUAAAUGCCAUGAAAUGUCCAGUCAUGAAGUAAUAUUCUGUUUAUACAGUCUCACACUCACUAGUUAGAAUUAACAAUACCUUUCUGGUUUGAAAUCCACUUAAAUUUUAUUUCUUAGCUAUAGAAGAUAUUUUGCUUAAAUCUUGCACUUUGGUACUUCAAAACUUCAUGUUAAGUGAAGUGUCAAAGAGUUAAACAAUUGAAAUAUCAUAACGCUUCAUAUUCACUUGGGACAUUCAUUUGUUAAGAAUAGGAAUUGUCGCAGAGUCGGUGCCAUUUUCUGGCUCGUGUCCUGG
rnacentral:lncRNA from 1 species